GACGAACGCUGGCGGCGUGCUUAACACAUGCAAGUCGAGCGAGGCCCUCCUUCGGGAGGUGUCCUAGCGGCGAACGGGUGAGUAACACGUGGGCAACCUGCCCUCAGCUCUGGGAUAACCCCAAGAAAUUGGGGCUAAUACCGGAUACGACCGCUGACCGCAUGGUCUGGUGGUGGAAAGAUUUAUCGGCUGAGGAUGGGCCCGCGGCCUAUCAGCUUGUUGGUGGGGUAGUGGCCUACCAAGGCGACGACGGGUAGCCGGCCUGAGAGGGUGACCGGCCACACUGGGACUGAGACACGGCCCAGACUCCUACGGGAGGCAGCAGUGGGGAAUAUUGCGCAAUGGGCGGAAGCCUGACGCAGCGACGCCGCGUGGGGGAUGACGGCCUUCGGGUUGUAAACCUCUUUCAGCAGGGACGAAGCGAAAGUGACGGUACCCGCAGAAGAAGCACCGGCCAACUACGUGCCAGCAGCCGCGGUAAUAC
rnacentral:rRNA from 1 species